rnacentral:rRNA from 1 species
UUGGGCGUGCCUCCACCCACGCCGGCGUCGGCGGGCGUAUUUCGCCUCACAGUAGGUCGCCGCGACCCGUUGCUUUUGGGGACGUCGAAGGCCCGGACGGAUUGGUACCCUACCGGCUGGGGAUGCGGCUUCGGCUUCUCCUCUUGUCCGGUGGGCGAAACCGCCGGUGUCCUGGCUGCCCUGCGACGGUCGUAGAGACGAGCCCUCCCCAUUCGUGGGGGGCGGCUCUCGCGGCGUGCAAAAGGUCGGUGAUCCACCCGACCCGUCUUGAAACACGGACCAAGGAGUCUAACAUGUGUGCGAGUCAGUGGGCGCACUAAACCCAGAGGCGUAAUGAAAGUGACACGGGUUCGGCUGUCGCCUCGUGUGGCAGCCGGACUCGGGGCCGAUCCCUCACCGGUUGCCCUCGCCUUUCUCCCGCGUCUCGGUAAGCCGGGUGAGCUAUUUUCCCCGGCCAAUGCUGCGGGGCUCGGGAGGCGGCGGGGUUGCGAUGGUGUCCGUAAAAAAGAGCCUGCUGUUGCAGGGGGGCGCAGGCCCGGGACUUGCCAGGACGCCGCGAGACUGUUGUCACUUUGCUGUGAGGCUCCAGGGCCGAUCAGCGGGUCAUGCGUGCAGUCGGCAAGUACCAUGAGCAGACAUGUUGGGACCCGAAAGAUGGUGAACUAUGCCUGGCCAGGAUGAAGCCAGAGGAAACUCUGGUGGAGGUCCGUAGCGAUUCUGACGUGCAAAUCGAUCGUCGGAGCUGGGUAUAGGGGCGA